AUUACGUAGGACGGUCGGAGAAGCUGAAUGUACCAAAACAAGCAAACUAUUGAUGAAUCAGACCUGAGAAAGAUCUGGCGAUUAUGGAAGUCCUCGCCGAGCUGCUGCAUACCCCCCAGAUUCUUCUUUAACAGCUAAGUUGACAUAUUUUUCUAUUUUAUAGCACUCAUCUCACACGAUAUUUGAGCCCCAUGAGUCUAAUCAAUGUAAUCAACCCAUUCAUAUCUGUCCUUAUUCGUUUUCAGUCAAACUGAAACUAUUGUAGCCUCUGGAUUCUCACAGUGCCACAUUCACUCCCACAUUCACUCACAGCUAAGUCAAGAUAAUUAUUUUGAAUUAUUUCAAUUGAUAGUUGAAUGUUGGUAAAACAUUUUCAUUAAUUUACAACCUGUUCACUUUGUCUAUAGCGAAAAGUCAGGAUUCUGGACGAUCGACAGGAGUAAUCAUUGCAGUUUCACAGUCAUCAGCCCGCCUUUCUCACAUGCCGAUUUGUUUGGUGAUUUAGUGUUCUCCAUGUUCUUUCGGCGAUAAAGGUCGUUUUACGGAGUCGCCCAUGUCGACCGGGGUUUUCCAUGGUUUCCCUCGGUCACCAGGAGUGUCUGCAAAUGAAGUACAGCUCCUGGGGCAAAUGCGACGUGAUUGGAGGAAGACGGCCCAUGGUAACGCAUAAAAAUGACAGUAGAAAACCGGAUAAGCUCUACAAAUAUUGUAUCCAAGGAAAUAUAUCUAUAUUAUUGUUA